rnacentral:rRNA from 1 species
UACGGAAGGCAGCAGUGGGGAAUAUUGCACAAUGGGCGAAAGCCUGAUGCAGCUAUGCCGCGUGUAUGAAGAAGGCCUUAGGGUUGUAAAGUACUUUCAUCGGGGAGGAAAAAACAAAACUAAUAAUUUUAUUUCUUGACGUUACCCGAAAAAGAAGCACCGGCUAACUCCGUGCCAGCAGCCGCGGUAAUACGGAGGGUGCUAGCGUUAAUCAGAAUUACUGGGCGUAAAGAGCACGUAGGUGGUUUUUUUAAGUCAGAUGUGAAAUCCCCGGGCUUAACCUAGGAACUGCAUUUUGAAACUGAAAUACUAGAGUAUCGUAGAGGGAGGUAGAAUUCUAGGUGUAGCGGUGAAAUGCGUAGAUAUCUGGAGGAAUACCUGUGGCGAAAGCGGCCUCCUAAACGAAUACUGACACUGAGGGUGCGAAAGCGUGGGGAGCAAACAGGGAUUAGAUACC